rnacentral:rRNA from 1 species
UGGGGAAUUUUGGACAAUGGGCGAAAGCCUGAUCCAGCAAUGCCGCGUGUGUGAAGAAGGCCUUCGGGUUGUAAAGCACUUUUGUCCGGAAAGAAAUCCUCUGGGUUAAUACCUCGGGGGAUGACGGUACCGGAAGAAUAAGCACCGGCUAACUACGUGCCAGCAGCCGCGGUAAUACGUAGGGUGCAAGCGUUAAUCGGAAUUACUGGGCGUAAAGCGUGCGUAGGCGGUUUCUUAAGUCUGCUGUGAAAUCCCCGGGCUCAACCUGGGAAUGGCAGUGGAUACUGGGAGGCUAGAGUGUGUCAGAGGGUGGUGGAAUUCCCGGUGUAGCGGUGAAAUGCGUAGAGAUCGGGAGGAACAUCAGUGGCGAAGGCGGCCACCUGGGACAACACUGACGCUGAGGCACGAAAGCGUGGGGAGCAAACAGGAUUAGAUACCCUGGGUAGUCCACGCCCUAAACGAUGCGAACUGGAUGUUGGUCUCAACUCGGAGAUCAGUGUCGAAGCUAACGCGUUAAGUUCGCCGCCUGGGGAGUACGGUCGCAAGACUGAAACUCAAAGGAAUUGAC